AGAGUUUGAUCAUGGCUCAGGAUGAACGCUAGCUACAGGCUUAACACAUGCAAGUCGAGGGGCAGCGGGAAUUAGCUUGCUAACUUGCCGGCGACCGGCGACACGGGUGAGUAACGCGUAUCCAACUUCCCUAGUAGGCAUAGCCCGAUGAAAAUCGGAUUAAUACCCUAUGUUCUUCGAUAGAUGACAUCUGACAUGAAGCAAAGGAUUUAUCGCUAAGGGAUGGGGAUGCGUCCGAUUAGGUAGUCGGCGGGGUAACGGCCCACCGAGCCAUCGAUCGGUAGGGGUUCUGAGAGGAAGGUCCCCCACAUUGGAACUGAGACACGGUCCAAACUCCUACGGGAGGCAGCAGUGAGGAAUAUUGGUCAAUGGGCGAGAGCCUGAACCAGCCAAGUAAGCGUGCAGGAUGACGGCCCUAUGGGUUGUAAACUGCUUUUAUACGGGGAUAAAGUGAGGGACGUGUCCCUUUUUGUAGGUACCGUAUGAAUAAGGACCGGCUAAUUCCGUGCCAGCCGCUGC
rnacentral:rRNA from 1 species